rnacentral:rRNA from 1 species
AUUGAACGCUGGCGGCGUGCUUAACACAUGCAAGUCGAGCGGUAACAGGUGUAGCAAUACAUGCUGACGAGCGGCGAACGGGUGAGUAAUGCUUCGGAAUCUUCCUAGGAGUGGGGAAUAACCUGGGGAAACUCAGGCUAAUACCGCAUACGAACUACGGUUGAAAGCAGGGGAUCGCAAGACCUUGCGCUAUUAGAUGAGCCGAAGUCGGAUUAGCUAGUUGGUGAGGUAACGGCUCACCAAGGCGACGAUCCGUAGCUGGUCUGAGAGGACGACCAGCCACACUGGGACUGAGACACGGCCCAGACUCCUACGGGAGGCAGCAGUGGGGAAUAUUGGACAAUGGGGGCAACCCUGAUCCAGCGACGCCGCGUGUGUGAAGAAGGCCUGCGGGUUGUAAAGCACUUUUAGUGGGGACAAAAAGCCGAGGGCUAAUACUCUUCGGUCUUGAUUUAACCCAAAGAAAAAGCACCGGCUAACUCUGUGCCAGCCGCCGCAGUAACAC